rnacentral:rRNA from 1 species
AACGAACGCUGGCGGCAUGCCUAACACAUGCAAGUCGAACGAGAUCUUCGGGUCUAGUGGCGCACGGGUGCGUAACGCGUGGGAAUCUGCCCUUUGGUUCGGAAUAACAGUUGGAAACGACUGCUAAUACCGGAUGGUGACGAAAGUCCAAAGAUUUAUCGCCAGAGGAUGAGCCCGCGUAGGAUUAGCUAGUUGGUGUGGUAAAGGCGCACCAAGGCGACGAUCCUUAGUUGGUCUGAGAGGAUGAUCAGCCACACUGGGACUGAGACACGGCCCAGACUCCUACGGGAGGCAGCAGUGGGGAAUAUUGGACAAUGGGCGAAAGCCUGAUCCAGCAAUGCCGCGUGAGUGAUGAAGGCCUUAGGGUUGUAAAGCUCUUUUACCCGGGAUGAUAAUGACAGUACCGGGAGAAUAAGCUCCGGCUAACUCCGUGCCAGCCGCCGCGGUAA